AUUGCAGAACUCCGUGAAUCAUUGAAUCUUUGAACGCAACUUGCGCCCGGGGCUUGUCCGAGGGCAUGUCUGACUGAGCGUCUA
rnacentral:rRNA from 1 species